rnacentral:rRNA from 1 species
AUUGAACGCUGGCGGCAGGCCUAACACAUGCAAGUCGAACGAGUGGCGGACGGGUGAGUAAUGUCUGGGAAACUGCCUGAUGGAGGGGGAUAACUACUGGAAACGGUAGCUAAUACCGCAUACCAUCGGAUGUGCCCAGAUGGGAUUAGCUAGUAGGUGGGGUAAAGGCUCACCUAGGCGACGACCCCUAGCUGGUCUGAGAGGAGGACCAGCCACACUGGAACUGAGUCACGGUCCAGACUCCUACGGGAGGCUGCAGUGGGGAAUAGUGCACAAUGGGCGCAAGACUGGUACAGCCAUGCCGCGUGUAUGAAGAAGGCCUUCGAGUUGUACAGUACUUUCAGCGGGGAGGCGUUACCCGCAGAAGAAGCACCGGCUAACUCCGUGCCAGCCGCCGCGGUAAUUC